rnacentral:misc_RNA from 1 species
CCACCUAGGACUUCUGUAACCACCACCUUGAGCACUUCUUUCUGUUUGCUUUCAACUGCUGGACCAUUAGAGACUUCCUUUCCUUCAACAUAAUUCUCCCAAAUUUUCAGUUCCUUCUUUUUCGCAGAUUGCUCAGACUGCUCAAGAAGAUGAGCAUCAGGGAUCCUGUCAAUGCCAAAGGAAGUUUGUAACUUCGCAAGGCCAGCUUCAAGAAGAACCACUGCUAUGUUAGUCCUUGACUCCCACAGGGAUCCCAAGAAAGUUCCAGUUCUAUCAACAGUUUCUACUUCAAUCUCAACUUCUCUCUGCAUUAUCCUACGUCUCAUUAGUGCAAUUGCUUCAUCUGAAUAUGGUUCAUCGCGACCAGGACACCUGACACCAGAGAAUGAAAAGGCAAUGCUGCAUGUUUCCUUGGGAAUCAAAAGCUUAAAACGGUGACCGCUAAGCACAUAUUCCACAACAGCAGAAAUUUUCCUAUUUCGGUGCAGGAAGGGCAAGAAAUCUCUAGCUUUCUUGGCUGAUGCCGUGGUAAGAUCUGUUAUAUGUGUAACUGGAGGUUCCUUGCUAGAAUGC